GACUCGUUGCGGAAGGUCCGCGUCUGCUUCCAAUCAGGUUUUCUCCUCCAAUGCAAGCAGAUAUCGCCCGUUCGAUUCGGGUACGAGUCU